rnacentral:RNase_P_RNA from 1 species
GUGCAACAGAGAGCAAACCGCCGAUGGCCCACGCAAGUGGGAUCAGGUAAGGGUGAAAGGGUGCGGUAAGAGCGCACCGCGCGGCUGGUAACAGUCCGUGGCACGGUAAACUCCACCCGGAGCAAGGCCAAAUAGGGGUUCAUAAGGUACGGCCCGUACUGAACCCGGGUAGGCUGCUUGAGCCAGUGAGCGAUUGCUGGCCUAGAUGAAUGACUGUCCACGACAGAACCCGGCUUAUCGGUCAGUUUCACCU